GAUGAACGCUAACUGCAGGCUUAACACAUGCAAGUCGAGGGGAAACGGCAUUUAGUGCUUGCACUGAAUGGACGUCGACCGGCGCACGGGUGAGUAACGCGUAUCCAACCUACCCAUUACUGUGGGAUAACCUGCCGAAAGGCAGACUAAUACCGCAUAGUCUUCGAUGACGGCAUCAGAUUUGAAGUAAAGAUUUAUCGGUAAUGGAUGGGGAUGCGUCUGAUUAGCUUGUUGGCGGGGUAACGGCCCACCAAGGCGACGAUCAGUAGGGGUUCUGAGAGGAAGGUCCCCCACAUUGGAACUGAGACACGGUCCAAACUCCUACGGGAGGCAGCAGUGAGGAAUAUUGGUCAAUGGGCGCGAGCCUGAACCAGCCAAGUAGCGUGCAGGAUGACGGCCCUAUGGGUUGUAAACUGCUUUUGUAUGGGGAUAAAGUCAAUCACGUGUGAUUGUUUGCAGGUACCAUACGAAUAAGGACCGGCUAAUUCCGUGCCAGCAGCCGCGGUAAUACGGAAGGUCCGGGCGUUAUCCGGAUUUAUUGGGUUUAAAGGGAGCGUAGGCCGGAGAUUAAGUGUGUUGUGAAAUGUAGACGCUCAACGUCUGACUUGCAGCGCAUACUGGUUUCCUUGAGUACGCACAACGUUGGCGGAAUUCGUCGUGUAGCGGUGAAAUGCUUAGAUAUGACGAAGAACUCCGAUUGCGAAGGCAGCUGACGGGAGCGCAACUGACGCUUAAGCUCGAAGGUGCGGGUAUCGAACAGG
rnacentral:rRNA from 1 species